UACGAAGGGGGCUAGCGUUGCUCGGAAUCACUGGGCGUAAAGCGCACGUAGGCGGCUUCUUAAGUCAGGGGUGAAAUCCUGGAGCUCAACUCCAGAACUGCCUUUGAUACUGAGGAUCUUGAGUUCGGGAGAGGUGAGUGGAACUGCGAGUGUAGAGGUGAAAUUCGUAGAUAUCGCAAGAACACCAGUGGCGAAGGCGGCUCACUGGCCCGAUACUGACGCUGAGGCACGAAAGCGUGGGGAGCAAACAGGGAUU
rnacentral:rRNA from 1 species